UACGUAGGGAGCAAGCGUUAUCCGGAAUGACUGGGCGUAAAGGGCGCGUAGGCGGCUAAGUAAGUUAGGAGUGAAAUUCCAGUUUUCAAGGUUGGAACUGCUUUUAAUACUGCUGAGCUUGAGUGCAGAAGAGGUAAGCGGAAUUCCCAGUGUAGCGGUGAAAUGCGUAGAGAUUGGGAAGAACACCAGUGGCGAAGGCGGCUUACUGGGCUGUAACUGACGCUGAGGCGCGAAAGCGUGGGGAGCGAGC
rnacentral:rRNA from 1 species